CUGGCCUAAAGUGAGAGUGGGUGCUUUGGGUUCUGUACAAAUAGUGGUAACGUGGUUGAAUCCUGCAGAAGUCAACCAUGGACAGACAUUUCUAACAUCAGGCUGUGUGUGAUUUCUUCCAGGAUCAGAAGAGAGAUCCCACGAAGGUUCCUUAAUGCUGCUUGGAGGCUGAUCUCUGCUCUCAUCCCUCCCUCCCAGUGCCAAAGUCAGUGGGCAGUGCUGGGGGCCACCUACUCUCCCUUCUGGUGCUCCAACUGGAUCACUAGCACCAGGUUUUUGAGGAAUAAAAGGUUGUGAUGAUCAGUGACACAGAAACAGCUACCUGAUGGUCCUGUUGUGUACACACCGGAGAUGUUGCCCUGGAGACCAUAUGGCAGCAAGGGCAGUGUUCCUGUUUUCAUCCAGAUGCUGGGAGUUGCUUGGAGAAGCCUGUCCAUCAGGGAGGUAAAUUGGGGGCUUC
rnacentral:lncRNA from 1 species